rnacentral:rRNA from 1 species
AUUGAACGCUGGCGGCAGGCCUAACACAUGCAAGUCGAGCGGAUGAAGGGAGCUUGCUCCUGGAUUCAGCGGCGGACGGGUGAGUAAUGCCUAGGAAUCUGCCUGGUAGUGGGGGAUAACGUCCGGAAACGGGCGCUAAUACCGCAUACGUCCUGAGGGAGAAAGUGGGGGAUCUUCGGACCUCACGCUAUCAGAUGAGCCUAGGUCGGAUUAGCUAGUUGGUGGGGUAAAGGCCUACCAAGGCGACGAUCCGUAACUGGUCUGAGAGGAUGAUCAGUCACACUGGAACUGAGACACGGUCCAGACUCCCACGGGAGGCAGCAGUAGGGAAUAUUGGACAAUGGGCGAAAGCCUGAUCCAGCCAUGCCGCGUGUGUGAAGAAGGUCUUCGGAUUGUAAAGCACUUUAAGUUGGGAGGAAGGGCAGUAAGUUAAUACCUUGCUGUUUUGACGUUACCAACAGAAUAAGCACCGGCUAACUUCGUG